rnacentral:rRNA from 1 species
AACGAACGCUGGCGGCAUGCCUAACACAUGCAAGUCGAACGAGAUCUUCGGGUCUAGUGGCGCACGGGUGCGUAACGCGUGGGAAUCUGCCCUCAGGUUCGGAAUAACCAUUGGAAACGAUGGCUAAUACCGGAUGAUGACGUUAAGUCCAAAGAUUUAUCGCCUGAGGAUGAGCCCGCGUAGGAUUAGCUAGUUGGUGUGGUAAAGGCGCACCAAGGCGACGAUCCUUAGCUGGUCUGAGAGGAUGAUCAGCCACACUGGGACUGAGACACGGCCCAGACUCCUACGGGAGGCAGCAGUGGGGAAUAUUGGACAAUGGGCGAAAGCCUGAUCCAGCAAUGCCGCGUGAGUGAUGAAGGCCUUAGGGUUGUAAAGCUCUUUUACCCGGGAUGAUAAUGACAGUACCGGGAGAAUAAGCUCCGGCUAACUCCGU